rnacentral:rRNA from 1 species
UACGGGGGGGGUAAGCGUUGUUCGGAAUUACUGGGCGUAAAGGGCUCGUAGGCGGCCAACUAAGUCAUACGUGAACUCCCUCAGCUUAACUGGGGAACUGCGUGUGAUACUGGAUGGCUUGGAUUUGGGAGAGGGAUGCGGAAUUCCAGGUGUAGCGGUGAAAUGCGUAGAUAUCUGGAGGAACACCGGUGGCGAAGGCGGCAUCCUGGACCAAUAUUGACGCUGAGGAGCGAAAGCCAGGGGAGCAAACGGG